ACAGCCAUGUCACAUUGAAACACCAGUUCUCGUAAGAUCACCGAAGUUAAGCAACAUCGAUUUUGAUCAGUACCUAGCUGGGUGACCGAUUGGGCAUACCAUGUACUGUAA